GACGAACGCUGGCGGCGUGCUUAACACAUGCAAGUCGAGCGGCGCGGCGAACGGGUGAGUAACUCGUGAGUAACUGCCCCCCUCUCUGGGAUAACAGUUGGCAACGGCUGCUAAUACCGGAUAGUGGGGGAUGACUCGCGUCCUAUCAGCUUGUGGGUUGGGUAGUGGCCUACCACGGCGACGCCGGGUAGCCGGCCUGAGAGGGCGACCGGCCACAUUGGGCUGAGAGACGGCCCAAACGCCUACGGGAGGCAGCAGUGGGGAAUAUUGCACAAUGGGGGAAACCCUGAUGAAGCAACGCCGCGGGCGGGAUGACGGCCUUCGGGUUGUAAACCGCUUUCAGCCAGGACGCGGUAGUGGCAGAAGAAGCACCGGCUAACUACGUGCCAGCAGCCGCGGUAAUUC
rnacentral:rRNA from 1 species